rnacentral:rRNA from 1 species
ACUCGAGUGGCGAACGGGUGAGUAACACGUGGGUGAUCUGCCCUGCACUCUGGGAUAAGCUUGGGAAACUGGGUCUAAUACCGGAUAGGAACCGUCUUUAGUGUGGUGGUUGGAAAGUCUUUUCGGUGCAAGAUGAGCUCGCGGCCUAUCAGCUUGUUGGUGGGGUAAUGGCCUACCAAGGCGUCGACGGGUAGCCGGCCUGAGAGGGUGUACGGCCACAUUGGGACUGAGACACGGCCCAG